GAGAUGUGAUGAUAAUUAAUUGAUGGAGUGCUCUAACACCAGUUUUAUAGCAGUUAAAGCUAAAAACUAGGUGCAUGUAAUCAGUUUGAGGAUAAAGGUAAUACAUAGACCAUCGCUUGUAUUGAAAGAAAGAAAAAAGUAAUACAUGAAAAUAAAUAAUUAACAAAAAGAAAAAAGAAUGGCUGCUGCUGACUAAUCAGCUUCCAACUGUGAUGCCUCCAUUACUCAAUGCAGUGGAAAGGAACUUAACGGUCGACUACCAAAGAGGGUUUUUUUAUUUUUUUUAUUUUGCCUCCAUUUCCCUUCUUUCUUCCAUCCAACGAAAAAUAGGAGAAGAAGAGACAGAGACAGAGGCAGAGAGAUCUUCCGUUUGGUUCUCGGGAAAAAUGGUGGCGGCUAACUCUAAGUUAUCAUACGAGAGCUCUUUUCAGCAGUGUUUGGUGGAGGAAAACAGGAAGAAAAUGGAAGCACUCAAUCUGCCUCAGAUUGCUCUGCAGGCUCAUCGAUCCCCUGUUUUUGAUGCCUGGAAGGACCUACCACUCCAACAGGCACAAGGAUCAGAAGCUUAGGUAAUUUAUUUCAGAUCAUUCUUGUAGUGGUUGAAUUUACUUAUUGCUUCUUUCUUGUUUUUCUCCAACAUAAACAUAACAAUCUAUGAUCUGGUUGGUUUCUGUCUCUUGACCUAGUCAAGUUAUGUAAACCCAAAAUUCUAUACUUAAAAGAUACUGUCUCAAACUCUGUUAAUAUUUCUAUCAAGCACAUGGCCUGUCCUGCUGUGAUCAGAUUGGGAUAGGUGAAUGCAGAGUGGGGGCACAUCUGUUCUAGCCAACUUGACUAAAGUCCAUACAUGCAUAAAAACAACAUAUUUGUUCAAAGAGGUCUCAGAAUUGCUCAGCCAUCAAGGCCUAUGUGAUGUCCUUAUCUAUAAAUGAAACAACUUGCAUAUGCAUAGAAACCAUGUGCCUUGUAUUGGCUUGACUGAAACUGUGAUGCAAAUGCACCGAAGUUGCCUUCACGUAAGUGAACCAAAUUGUGGUUUAUAGGUCUCUUUCCAAAAUCCAUAUGUAUCCUAUUUUGUCUUCAAAUGGCUUUCUUCCUUGUUUAAUCCUCUUAUCUCCUCACUCCCUUCUCUCUAUUUCCCUUUUCUCACUCAACC